rnacentral:rRNA from 1 species
AUUGAACGCUGGCGGCAGGCCUAACACAUGCAAGUCGAGCGGAUGAAGGGAGCUUGCUCCUGGAUUCAGCGGCGGACGGGUGAGUAAUGCCUAGGAAUCUGCCUGGUAGUGGGGGAUAACGUCCGGAAACGGGCGCUAAUACCGCAUACGUCCUGAGGGAGAAAGUGGGGGACCUUCGGACCUCACGCUAUCAGAUGAGCCUAGGUCGGAUUAGCUAGUUGGUGGGGUAAAGGCCUACCAAGGCGACGAUCCGUAACUGGUCUGAGAGGAUGAUCAGUCACACUGGAACUGAGACACGGUCCAGACUCCUACGGGAGGCAGCAGUGGGGAAUAUUGGACAAUGGGCGAAAGCCUGAUCCAGCCAUGCCGCGUGUGUGAAGAAGGUCUUCGGAUUGUAAAGCACUUUAAGUUGGGAGGAAGGGCAGCAAGUUAAUACCUUGCUGUUUUGACGUUACCAACAGAAUAAGCACCGGCUAACUUCGUG